GAACUGCAAAUAGUGAUGGUUAACCUUAUCCUUUCCAAUUUUAUACUCUAGUUUCUUACCUAUUUUUGUGGACUAGAUCCUUCAGCAUGAUGGUAGCUAAUGGUGUUUUUAGUAGACACCUGUUAGGAAUGUCUCUGCUGUUACUCCAUAAAGCAGAGUAUGGCUUUGGAUUGAGAAAGGUAUGUUAAUGAAAAACCUGUACUUUCUAUUUUAUUUCAUGUUUUCUUUUUAAAAAAUCAAGAAUCAUUAUUGAAUUUUGUUAGUUGCUCCCUCACCGCCUGCUGCCUGCUGCCUCCACCCUGGACGAGGGCCGGGCCCACGGCGCUGGCAUCUUGCUCUUUGUUGCUGCCAUCCCGAGCAGAAGGGACUGGCGGGCAGUACCGGCAGCUGGUCAGUGGGCAGAGGCCGGCCUCCCGGGGAAUGAUGGAGGUUGGGAGGGAGAAAGAGGAUGUGUGUUGCUGGUGUUCUGACCGCCCAUUUGUGCCGUUAGCGAUCGGUGCUUCUCCACCGCUGAUUCUGGGCGUGGUCUACGAGGUGCCUGGGGGUGCCCGGCUGGCAUUCUGCUUGACGUGGAGUUGAAGUUGCUAUAACAACACUGAUUCAUGUAACUGCAGCUCCCCAGCUGGGC
rnacentral:lncRNA from 1 species